AGGCACUGCUAUCAUGGGGCACUGGUAACAAAUAAAUAUCACUUUGGAGGCCAUGUGCAGAUCAGAUUUGGAAGUGACCAAGACUGGAGGCAGGGACACCAGAGUUUUCUGUUAAAAACUGGUCCAUGCAAGAAAAGAUGACUCCUGAAAUAAGACAGUGAUCAUUAGGAUGAAGAGGAAGAGAAGAUUUGAGGAAUACUUAGAACAGAAUUUACUGAAUUUACUGGUUGAAUUGAAUGUGAAGAGGAGAUGAAUAAAGAAGAAAACACCCUCAAAGGGAACCCUGAGCAGAACACAUGCACAAACUCAUGCCAUACCCUAAGGGACAAGGUUCCCCACAUCUACUUGGAAAUCUUUGGGAUGCUCAAUGGACAGUUGCUCUGAUUCAUUUCUGGACUUCAGUGGAAGAAGCAGCCCUUAUUUAGGAUAUUGUUAGUCUUUGGCAGAGGGAAUACAAAGCAAUGGAAGGGUGAUGUGAUGGCUCCGAAAGCUUCUGUUGGAUGUAGAAUAUAAAGUUUGCUCACCUUUUUUAAUCCAAAGAGAAAAACAAGGAGAGAAAAAUCUAAACCCAGCAGAAGAGAAAGUUUAAGAAAGCGGUCGUCGCCAAUACCAAAAUUAGCUAUGAUAUUCAGGAAGAAAAAAAUGGAAACACGAUAACCACAGUCAAUAAAGACCAAGGCCACAUUCCAUUGACCAGAGCUCAGCCACGCGCCACACCUGGCUAAAGAGACUCUGGCUGAAGAAUUCCCUGAAUAUUUUAAUGUAGCUCUAGGUUAUAACACAGAACAACCACAAGGUGGCAGAAGAACUCCAUUCUUGUAAAUCUCUUAGUUGCUUCUUUAUUUCAUCUUCCCUAUUCCAUCUAAUGUUCCCUGAAUUUUACUAUUUUGUUGGUUUGAAAAUAUGUGUGACUUACGUCCUUUAAAGGAUUUGGUUCGUAAGGUUUUGAAUAGACUGGAAUAUAAAACAUUUAUAGAAAAGAAAAAUACCUACAGUAUGAUGUUAGUGAACUAUUAAUAAUCCAAUUAAAUAAAAUAUAUUUGCUUUGGAUUAAUACAUAUUUUGUUUUGAUGUUUGCUAAAUAAAACUAAGCAUUAGGAGGCCAAAUAGCCACAAUGAACAUUUUCAUAUUAUUUAAUAAGCCAGUUUCAAGGCAUACAUGCUAAAUUUGUUCUUAAGGAAAAGUUGAAUUUUUGCUUUCAUGAAAUUACAAACUCUAAGGCAAUUUUACACGUGUAAAUCCAAUGUGUUCUGAAGUUUAAAGUGUCAAAGGCUGUUGGAUUUAAACAGAUCUUGUAUGACUCUCUGUUUCAUCUCUUCAGAGGUUGAUAGUAAGCAACUUUGGCAGCAACUCACAGCUUCUGCUGUAACAUGAGGCUAAUAAUGACGACUUUAUAAGGUUGUUGCAAAGAGUCAGGGAUGCCACAAGCAACGUUCUUUAUAUAUGCAGAAUUUUAAAAAUAAAGUAAAUAAAAAUAUUCCUUCCUCUA
ensembl:lncRNA LINC00158 long intergenic non-protein coding RNA 158